UGAAGCUCAGACGCGGCUUCAAUAAAUUUCUACAAAAUUUCAUAUCGGACUGUACUUGCAAACCUCUAAACAAGUAUUUUCUAAAUUAUUGUUGGCAAGUUCAGUAUAAACAGAGAUGCGCAUGAGUUAUGUCACCACACUUGAAUUUAUUAACAUUCCCUCACUCUCUGGGCCACGGUCUUGGGCGACUAUUUUUACCUCGCACCCAGCGAGACAAUUGUUAACUCUUUCGCCAAUUGGAAAGACGUUGGAGUCAGUGGCAGACAUAAAUUAAUGUGCCUACAUAAAUAUCACCCAACGAUACGCUACGCCGGGCCGUCUCAGAAGCGCAUGACUAACGGAAACUAAUUACCUACGUAUUGAACAUCUGUUAACUAACAAUUGUCAAAGAUACGAGUAUAUAAACUGAAUUUCGUAACUAAAAACAACGUAGGCAAUAAAAAAUACCUGCUAACUUUUCCAUUAUUCAACAUGAAACUUGUUGCGAAAAUAAAUUGCACGAAUUAUAUUGCCAUAUCCAUAAUCGGACUCGAGCAAUUUGACAAGGAUCAGAUGCUAACUCUGCUGCCGAUGCCACAGAUGGAGAAUUGUAUCUCAAAAAAUUGCAUAACAAAGAAAAUCAUGAUGUCGGCGGUUUUACUGAUUCUGUUUAAAAUCAAUUUAAUAUUCGCUGAACAACUGCCGUGGGACAGGUGGAUGUUAGAUAAAGUUGCCCCGGAACCAGAAAUAUCGAGACGUCACAUGAUUGGGAAAGUCGACAGUAUACCCUAUAAAGCUCCUAAUUUUAAUUGUGAAUGUCCACCAAACAAAGAAUGCAGCUUAGAUUUCGAAAUCGAUGAUGUAGCACUAGACUUUUUAAAACUUCGUGGCCUUGUGAAAAAGCACGUAGAAGCACAAUUGAAACAACACAUGUCAGCUGGAAAAAAGAAAACUAUUCGUAAAUACAUUUAUAGCAGAAGAGCUAAUGGUGGUGUACCGCAAGAGGAGUGCUGCUGCCCGCCAAUGAGUCGUGACAACGACUUCCUACCUUUCAUUUAAAAAUAUUUUAUAACGUCAAACAUUUCGUUAAUUUUACACCUUCGCCUAGAGCCCUUGCAUCUUUUGACAUUUGCUAACAGCAUCUGUAGGUAAAUGGACAAGUUUAAAUCUGUUGGCUUAUCAUAACUUAACGACUACAACUUUUUAUACGAUCGGUUGCAAAACUCUAUUGCAGAUUUGCUAUUUGCUAAUGCAAUUUUGCAUUGGUAAGGUAUGCCCAUUUACAUUAAUUCGUGAGUUUUUUUCAUGUGCGUUAAAAAUGCGAUUUAAUCAAAUUAUUUUGUAUACAACUAUUAUCUUGUUAUUAUAUGUUGAGGCAAACCCUACACCUUCCGUUAAAACAACUGAUGGAGAACUAUACGUUAAGAAAAUAAUAGAUGGGGAAAGUCCUAAACAGCACUUCGAAUUGGACGAUAAUGCUUUGUUAUGGACCAAAAUAAGUAAUUUUUUAGCGCAAAAAGAAGCAUUACGGAAAAUGUAUUAUAGUAUUAUCCCAAUUAAUACUAAAUACGCACCUCAUAUGUAUUCAAAGAGAAUCAAGAGAGCUGAUAAUGGAAGCAUCUGCCCACAAAAAACUCUUGUUGAACCUGCAUUCAUUACCAACAGACGAUUCAGAAAAAUGACUGAAUAUUUUAAGCAAAUAGCAAAUAAUCGUAAUAAUACAAGUCCAUGAUGGAAGCAAUUGGGUCGAUCAACUAUUUCUUUUUGUUAUUCUGUCCCAUCAGCCAGGAGACAAUACUAGCAUAGUUUGUUAGAAGAACUGCCGUACCAUGUUCUACAAACAUGUUUAGUAGAUGUCCCAUUAUGGAAAGGCCUUAUAACUACCAAAAAAAUCAAGUUUGGUUCAUUUAAAUAUGAAAAAACUAGUAUUUUAAGAGUGACCCAGGAGACAGUAACAAUGGCAACGAGUGACAAGAAAAAGUUGGUUCACCCAAUUAACAGUCCCUAUGAGAUUUUAUACAUCAGGGACCGGAACCGGUUACCAAUAAAAGAGUAUUGGAUACGCUAUUGGAUAGAAUUGUGUUUACAAACCCUAUCAUUUUAGAAACUAUAUCAUCCCGCACUAUUAAAUAUCUUGGUGUAGUAGUUGAUGAGAAGCUGAAUUUCAGGGAUCACCUACUUACUACAGCAAAUCGCGUGCGUAAACUAAUAGAUGUGUUUAAAAAUCUGCGAAACUCUGGUUCAAAGGCAUUGCUAAGAAUAGUGUACAUCAGUAUUUGCCAAUCAGUUUUAGCAUAUUGCAUUACUGCAUGGGGAGGGGCAUGCAAAACCCACAUGGUGCUGUUGGAGAGGGCACAACGUGCUGUUCUCAAGGUUAUCCUCCGGAAACCCAGUAGAUACCCAACCCGGCUUGUAUACAGUGAUAUGAAUGUCCUCACCGUUCGUGGAUUAUUUAUUCUGCGAGUGAUGUCUAAUGUACAUGGAGCGGCCAUAAAGUCUCCCAAUUAUAACUCCAUGUUGCAAAAGCACACCUUCAAAAUACCUAUACCUUCGACUUCAUCACACUGAGAGAAAAGGAUAACAAAAACACACUUAGAAUUACAAAAAUAAACUUAAUCCGGGGACAAGGAGAGUCAACUAAUAGGAACAAAUUGACUUUUGCAAUUUCUAUUAGUUCUUGCAAUUUCUAUUAUCUGUUUGUUGAAAUUAGAUUUAGGAUUACUGAGCUGUUUGUAGAAAUAAAUAAACUUUACAGAAAUAGUGAAA